ACGCGAGGAACCUUACCAGGUCUUGACAUCCUCUGACAACUCUGGAGACAGAGCGUUCCCCUUCGGGGGACAGAGUGACAGGUGGUGCAUGGUUGUCGUCAGCUCGUGUCGUGAGAUGUUGGGUUAAGUCCCGCAACGAGCGCAACCCUUGUUCUUAGUUGCCAUCAUUUAGUUGGGCACUCUAAGGAGACUGCCGGUGACAAACCGGAGGAAGGUGGGGAUGACGUCAAAUCAUCAUGCCCCUUAUGACCUGGGCUACACACGUGCUACAAUGGACGGUACAAACGGUUGCCAACCCGCGAGGGGGAGCUAAUCCGAUAAAACCGUUCUCAGUUCGGAAUGUAGGCUGCAACUCGCCUACAUGAAGCCGGAAUCGCUAGUAAUCGCGGAUCAGCAUGCCGCGGUGAAUACGUUCCCGGGCCUUGUACUCACCGCCCGU
rnacentral:rRNA from 1 species